CCAACAGAUUUACUUCGGUAAUGACGUUGGGAAAGCGAGCGGCGGAUGGGUGAGUAACACGUGGGGAACCUGCCCCUAAGUCUGGGAUACCAUUUGGAAACAGGUGCUAAUACCGGAUAAUAAAGCAGAUCGCAUGAUCAGCUUUUGAAAGGCGGCGUAAGCUGUCGCUAAGGGAUGGCCCCGCGGUGCAUUAGCUAGUUGGUAAGGUAACGGCUUACCAAGGCGACGAUGCAUAGCCGAGUUGAGAGACUGAUCGGCCACAUUGGGACUGAGACACGGCCCAAACUCCUACGGGAGGCAGCAGUAGGGAAUCUUCCACAAUGGACGCAAGUCUGAUGGAGCAACGCCGCGUGAGUGAAGAAGGUUUUCGGAUCGUAAAGCUCUGUUGUUGGUGAAGAAGGAUAGAGGUAGUAACUGGCCUUUAUUUGACGGUAAUCAACCAGAAAGUCACGGCUAACUACGUGCCAGCAGCCGCGGUAAUACGUAGGUGGCAAGCGUUGUCCGGAUUUAUUGGGCGUAAAGCGAGCGCAGGCG
rnacentral:rRNA from 1 species